rnacentral:misc_RNA from 1 species
AAAGCUGUACAAGGAAGUUAAGGUAUGAAAGCAUUAAAAGUAAUGUGUUAGUUUUCCUAUUUUGUUGUGCGUAAAUAUUUAUUCAGUUAAGUUAAAGCCAGUUUCUGCUAAGGAAAAGAGCUUCCUAAAGUAAUGUUAUGGACAAGUUCUGUUUUUCAGACUUGCUCAUUUGAUGUGGAAAUAUCAACUUCUUUGCUCCUGUUCUUUUUAACAUGAAAUUUUCUAAAGCUUUUGGGGAUGCUUACAUAUACUCAUGUAUAGUUUUAUUCUUUUCCUUGUGGCCACUAAAACUAUUUGAGAGAGGAAAAUUGAAUUUAUGUACAAAAGAAAACUGAAAGGAAGAUUCUUAUGCUUCCUUCUAUGUGGUAAAAUAUUGUUUGAGGUUUCAAGUGCUUUUAUAUGUCUUUAAUUGCUGU